UUAUUAGGACUCUAUUGUUAGAUAGUGGAUAACAUCUUUUGUUAAAAUUAAGCAGUAGUAGUCAGCAUGGUCACUUAACAACAGGGUCACUUGUUCAUAUCCCAGGAACUGCUUGUUUAACUCAUUGCCAUUCUCUUCCAGGCAUGAUAUCAUGGUGAAAUUCUAAGGAGACUUUCAUUGACUCUGCUAGGAAAGAAGGAAGAAUUAAGUUCUAGAUGCAGUUGUACACAGUACUGGUAAAGCAACAAAUCCUGUCAGUGUUCUCAUAGAAGAUAAUUGAGAUGCGAAGUACUUACAGCAUUGAAAGCAGCUUAUCUGGAGUGGAGCCAGCGGGGCCAGCUCAGAGGAAGCUGUACAGAGUGGAUAGACGCAUGCCCUGGACCUGCCCAGAACACCGUGCAUCAACGUAUCUCCUGAGCUUGUCUCACCUAAAGACUUGUUCCCUUUUGACAUUUAGAUACUAGACUGAUAGACUGCUGUUUGUCUCCUAUGCUCUGUCAGGCCUUCUACAUAUACAUCUAUCUACGUAUUUAUAAUAUUGUGAAUGCUUCCAUAAGGACAAGCCUUUUUCUGGUGACUACAUGAAAGAUCUGGUAUGAUGGCAGGCCACAAGGCCUAAUAGUUUAGUUAUUUUAUAAAUUAAUGAUGACUUCAAUGACUGCUUAAAAUUCAAGUCUUUCUGUUUAAUUGGUUAGAUACAUGAUGGACUUAGAAUGAAUUACUAUGUGUUGCUACUGG
rnacentral:lncRNA from 1 species